UACAGAGGUCUCAAGCGUUGUUCGGAUUCAUUGGGCGUAAAGGGUGCGUAGGCGGCGCGGUAAGUCGGGUGUGAAAUCUCGGAGCUUAACUCCGAAACUGCAUUCGAUACUGCCGUGCUUGAGGACUGGAAAGGAGACUGGAAUUUACGGUGUAGCGGUGAAAUGCGUAGAUAUCGUAAGGAAGACCAGUGGCGAAGGCGGGUCUCUGGACAGUUCCUGACGCUGAGGCACGAAGGUCGGGGGAGCAAACGGG
rnacentral:rRNA from 1 species